GGCCGGUUAGCUCAGUCAGUUGAGCAUAGUGCUAGCAACGCUAAGGUCGCAGGUUCGAUUCCUGUUCGGUCC
rnacentral:tRNA from 1 species